AUACGCCAGUUGCUACGGCUAGUUCUGCAUGAGGUAAACCUACAUCCAGCCAUCCCUGCUCCGGCCCAGCUGUGGUUCCUCCUUCCGAUCAUCGGAAGAACCCCAGAGUUCUCAACACUCUGAACCCAGGCGCCUGAACCCGGGAGUCCCAGAGGUGCGACUGACGGAGGGUUAAAGGGCAUCGGCCUGUUUUACGUUAAGGGGCGGAUUGGCAAUAGGGUUUACAGAGAAGAUUCCCGGUGUGUCGAUGUGCAUGUGGGGCCUAUUUUUGUUUGUCGACAUGGGAGGGCUGGUGCUGCCGCCAUGGUUAUAUGGUAUACCUCUGGUGCUGUCCAUGUGAGGCCACUCCUACACAUUUUUCCUGGGCCACUCUAAGUUACCAAUCUGGCCCUGAUUUUAUAUUAUCAAAUAGGCCUUACAAGAGCUUUGUUAUGAUUAUGCUGUAUUUUCUAAUAAUGAGUGUUCCCUUUUCUUUUAUGUUGAUUGCUGAUGCAUAUGUACCCCCACCCCCCCAAAAAAAAAAAAUUCAAAAAAUUGUGACUUUCCUGCCAUAUGUUGCUUUAGACGUCAAUCCACAAUGAACCAGUCAGGUGCGGCCAGCUAGUACUGGCAUCAUCAAUUUGUAUUUGCACCAAUAUCUGGCCCUGCAAGGGAAUUGCGACUUACAGGCAUAUUUACAUCUCUGAUUGAGCCUGCGUUAUUCACAAUAACUAUUUGGACUGUGUUUGAUCACAUGAUAGAAGGCAAUAGAGUCAUCUGUAUCGCAGUAA